GUCUAUGGCCAUACCACCCUGUAUAUGCCCAAUAUCCUCUGAUCUUGGAAGCCUAGCAGGAUUGGGCUUGGUUAGUAUCGAAUGGGAGAAAGUCCAAUUCCAACC
rnacentral:rRNA from 1 species